rnacentral:lncRNA from 1 species
CAAGUCCUUCUCAACAGCAGUCUGAACUCAGCGGUUCACAAACACAAAGUUGUGCUAUGGGAAGAUUACUGACGGCUCAUUGACAAGAACUGGAAUAUGCAACCUGCAUACAAGGACGUUUUGAUAUCUUUGUCCUGGUGAAGUGAGGAGUCUGGAAUUAAACUACAUGUAAUACACACCAGGGCAUAGGACAGCACUCAGUCUUGUGUGUUGGUGCUCACCGCACCUUACCAUUUAAAGGAUCUCCCUGCUCAGCACUGUGAAAAGACUCCCACAUCAGCCUGCUGGGCAGACAUUUCCUUUCCAGAGAAUACAGAGGUGAUAUGUUCAUGUUAAGAGCGAAAAUGCAAGUCCUGCUGAGAGACUGGAACUCUUAUGAUUGCUGGAUGAGGAUUUUGCUGCGCCAUUCAACCCUACCCGCAGCGGCCCACGUUCUGCAGUCUGGCUGGGUGCUACGUACAGCGUGUCUUUGGUGAAUCACUUGUGACUCUAUCCCUGUCGCUGGAUCUCGGAAUGGAUGACCUUAGAGAUUUUGCAGCCCACCUAAGCCUUCCUAAUUAACAUGUUCUCAAGUUCUCUUUGCCUCCCUACUCGUGAUAUUUGUGGUAUUUCAUUGCUACAUCUUGUGGUGGCCAUCAAGGGACAUUGCAAUUGGAAAUGAGUCUGUGCAUUGGAGAGAUGGACAAACCCACCUUCAGUGCUGCUGCGGUUGCCCAGAAGUCAGUGAAGUGACAUGAAGAGGGAACAGCGGCCAUUAGAUUUCUUCACAAAGCGAGCUUCCUCGUUCUCUGUCCAUCAUAACUUCAGUAAAGCCAGUGGUCUGGAUUCUGCAGAAAAAUGAGACCAUUACCCAACAGUGCUGGGGCAGCCAGAGAGUGGCACCUGAACUGUUUCUGGAAACCCACAAAGAACUUGACCUGCGACGAUGGUCCCUUGGGUGGGCAGAACACUACAAGCAACGGCGCACUGCUCCCUGUGCUUGCCAGGUGCAUAUCAGAUUCCCACAAAG